UCUGCCUUGAAUCUUCGUUGGGGUCGGAGUCUCUUUUGCCUUCUUUGGGCCAUCUCCUGAGGAAACACAAAGGUGGCAACAUGAAAUUGCAAGAAGUUCACUCUCAAGAUGUGCUUGGCAGAAGUCAUAGUAGAGUCCACAUUCCUCAUAAUGAAAAUUACUAAAUUAAGGCUGCAGAUAUCACCCUUGAAUAAAAGUCAAUCUCUUCUUACACACAAAGGAAAGCAAUUACAUUCAGAGGACCCCAGAGAGCUUGUUCCUCUAUCACUGAUAUGAAGAAAGCCUGGGAAAGCUAUAAACACCUGGAAAUCCCCAUAACAUCAGCAAAGCACUAUGCUGUCCUUAUGCUCAAGAGAAGCUGGCUGAAGAUUGUGUCGACUGGACCACAACAGCCCCAGCAUGUUUAACUUCAAGACAUGGUCAAAUUCUUUGUCAGCUCCACUGCAUACUGUGAACUGUAAUAUGUACUAUCUGGCAGCUGUGCUUCUUGAAAGCAUGCUACAAGGAAGCAACACCUCUGCCACAUGUGCU